AGGGGAGUAGCUCAAUUGGUAGAGUAGCGGUCUCCAAAACCGUAGGUCGCAGGUUCGAGCCCUGUCUCCCCUG
rnacentral:tRNA from 1 species